rnacentral:rRNA from 1 species
UACGGAAGGGGGCUAGCGUUGCUCGGAAUUACUGGGCGUAAAGCGCACGUAGGCGGAUCUUUAAGUCAGGGGUGAAAUCCUGGAGCUCAACUCCAGAACUGCCUUUGAUACUGAGGACCUUGAGUUCGGGAGAGGUGAGUGGAACUGCGAGUGUAGAGGUGAAAUUCGUAGAUAUUCGCAAGAACACCAGUGGCGAAGGCGGCUCACUGGCCCGAUACUGACGCUGAGGUGCGAAAGCGAUGGGAGCAA